rnacentral:rRNA from 1 species
UACGUAUGGAGCAAGCGUUAUCCGGAUUUACUGGGUGUAAAGGGAGCGUAGACGGUCAAGCAAGUCUGAUGUGAAGGGUGUGGGCUCAACCCGCAAACUGCAUUGGAAACUGUUUAACUGGGGUGUCGGAGAGGUAAGUGGAAUUCCUAGUGUAGAGGUGAAAUGCGUAGAUAUUAGGAGGAGCACCAGCGGCGAAGGCGGCUUACUGGACGAUAACUGACGUUGAGGCUCGAAAGCGUGGGGAGCAAAC